rnacentral:rRNA from 1 species
GACGAACGCUGGCGGCGUGCUUAACACAUGCAAGUCGAGCGGUAAGGCCCUUUCGGGGGUACACGAGCGGCGAACGGGUGAGUAACACGUGGGUGACCUGCCCUCAGCUCUGGGAUAAGCCUGGGAAACCGGGUCUAAUACUGGAUAUGACUCCAUGACGCAUGUUGUGGGGUGGAAAGCCUUGUGCGGCUGAGGAUGGGCCCGCGGCCUAUCAGCUUGUUGGUGGGGUGAGGCCUACCAAGGCGACGACGGGUAGCCGGCCUGAGAGGGCGACCGGCCACACUGGGACUGAGACACGGCCCAGACUCCUACGGGAGGCGGCAGUGGGGAAUCUUGCGCAAUGGGCGAAAGCCUGACGCAGCGACGCCGCGUGAGGGAUGACGGCCU